GAUGAACGCUGGCGGCGUGCUUAACACAUGCAAGUCGAACGGUGAAGCCAAGCUUGCUUGGUGGAUCAGUGGCGAACGGGUGAGUAACACGUGAGCAACCUGCCCUGGACUCUGGGAUAAGCGCUGGAAACGGUGUCUAAUACUGGAUAUGAGCUCCUUCCGCAUGGUGGGGGUUGGAAAGAUUUUCGGUCUGGGAUGGGCUCGCGGCCUAUCAGCCUGUUGGUGAGGUAAUGGCUCACCAAGGCGUCGACGGGUAGCCGGCCUGAGAGGGUGGACGGCCACACUGGGACUGAGACACGGCCCAGACUGCUACAGGAGGCAGCAGUGGGGAUGAUUGAACAAUGGGCGGAAGCCUGAUGCAGCAACGCCGGGUGAGGGAGGACGGCCUUCGGGUUGUAAACCUCUUUUAGCAGGGAAGAAGCUUUUGUGACGGUACCUGCAGAAAAAGCGCCGGCUAACUACGUGCCAGCAGCCGCCGUAA
rnacentral:rRNA from 1 species